rnacentral:rRNA from 1 species
GUUAGGAAUAUUGGACAAUGGGCGCAAGCCUGAUCCAGCCAUGCCGCGUGAGUGAUGAAGGCCUUCGGGUUGUAAAGCUCUUUAGCCGAUGAUUAUAAUGACUGUAGUCGGAAAAUAAGCCCCGGCUAACUUCGUGCCAGCAGCCGCGGUAAUAUGAAGGGGGCGAGCGUUAUUCGGAAUCACUGGGCGUAAAGCGUGCGUAGGCGGCUUUGCAAGUUGGGAGUGAAAGCCCAGGGCUCAACCCUGGAAUUGCUCUCAAAACUGCAAGGCUCGAAUUCGGGAGAGGAUAGCGGAAUUGUCAGUGUAGCAGUGAAAUGCGUAGAUAUUGACAGGAACACCAGUGGCGUAAGCGGCUAUCUGGACCGAUAUUGACGCUGAGGCACGAAAGCGUGGGGAUCAAACAGGAUUAGAUACCCCGGUAGUCC